rnacentral:rRNA from 1 species
AUUGAACGCUGGCGGCAUGCCUUACACAUGCAAGUCGAACGGCAGCACGGGAGCAAUCCUGGUGGCGAGUGGCGAACGGGUGAGUAAUGUAUCGGAACGUGCCCAGUCGUGGGGGAUAACGCAGCGAAAGCUGUGCUAAUACCGCAUACGAUCUAUGGAUGAAAGCGGGGGAUCGCAAGACCUCGCGCGAUUGGAGCGGCCGAUAUCAGAUUAGCUAGUUGGUGGGGUAAAAGCUUACCAAGGCGACGAUCUGUAGCUGGUCUGAGAGGACGACCAGCCACACUGGAACUGAGACACGGUCCAGACUCCUACGGGAGGCAGCAGUAGGGAACUUUGGACAAUGGGCGCAAGCCUGAUCCAGCAAUGCCGCGUGCAGGAUGAAGGCCUUCGGGUUGUAAACUGCUUUUGUACGGAGCGAAAAGGCUCUCUCUAAUACAGGGGGCUCAUGACGGCACCGUAAGAAUAAGCACCGGCUAACUACGCGCCAGCCGCCGCCGUAA